AUCUGUGAAGAUGUUCUCCGCUCAGAACAAGAUCAAGAAGGACAAGAAUGCUGAGCCAACAGAAUGCGAGGAGCAAGU
rnacentral:sRNA from 1 species